AUAGCUACAGAUGCAGAUUCCUCUGAAGAAUACAAUACCGUCACUUAUUGGACUGAAGACUUUGUUGAUAAAAUUGACAUUGAUCCAAGAACAGGAAAUGUAUCUGUCAUUGGCAAACUUGACGUCGAUUUUCCGAGUAGUCUAACGGUAUUAAAUUUCACUAUAUAUGCAACUGAUGACUUGAAGAAGAGAGACACACGAUCGAAUCACACUGUAAAGGCGACUUUAUCAUUAUACCUGCAAGAUUGUAAUGAUAACAGCCCAAUUUUUACAAAAGAAAAAUAUGUUUGUUAUGUCAAUGAAAAUAGAACGGGAAAAUUCAACUGCAGCGUUGAAGCUAAAGAUGGGGACUCCACUCAUACUGAUAUAAAAUACACUAUAUUGAGUGGAAAUGAAAAGG